UGACAGCAGGAAAACAGGACAG
rnacentral:misc_RNA from 1 species